CUCUUUUUCACUGCAUGGUACCAGCUCGACUUGACUCUACUUGCUUUUUUUGGUUUUCCACUAGGCAGAUCUGGCACCUGGAAGCGAGCUGAACCAAUACCAGAAGGUGAUGUAAAAAAGCUAGUGACUACAGAUUGGUUGGAGAG